UACGUAGGGCGCAAACGUUGUCCGGAAUUAUUGGGCGUAAAGAGCUCGUAGGUGGCUUGUUGCGUCUGCCGUGAAAGCCCGUGGCUUAACUACGGGUCUGCGGUGGAUACGGGCAGGCUAGAGGCUGGUAGGGGCAAGCGGAAUUCCUGGUGUAGCGGUGAAAUGCGCAGAUAUCAGGAGGAACACCGGUGGCGAAGGCGGCUUGCUGGGCCAGUUCUGACGCUGAGGAGCGAAAGCGUGGGGAGCGAACAGG
rnacentral:rRNA from 1 species